GAGCCGCAAGAGAUGAAGGGGGCGCCGCAGAAGGCAGAAGGGGAAGCUGGGCGACAGGAGCGCGAGCGGAACGGGCGUUUUUGAGGAAUCGUUAUUUGUACAUUAAAAAAAAAAAAGUAAAUCCAACACAGCACAGCCCAGAAACGUUUGCAUUUCAGUAGAAAUGAUGGACUUCCUCGGGUUAAAAGAGAGGGAGAGAGAAUCUCAAGCAGGCUCCACAUUCAGCACAGAGCCUGAUGCCGGACUCAAUCCCAUGACUGCGAGAUCACAAUCCAAGCUGGUAUCAAGAGUUGGAUGCUCAAUGGACUGACCACCCAGGCGCCCCGUUAAUAUUUUAAAUGUAUAUCUUUAUAGACUUUUUCUAUAUAUAGUAUAUAUUUUAAUGUAAUAUGCAGUGUAUACUUUAAUAAAAACAAGAUCAUAUUAAACCUAACUCUUUUG
rnacentral:lncRNA from 1 species